GGGUUGUGAGGUUAAGCGACUAAGCGUACACGGUGGAUGCCCUGGCAGUCAGAGGCGAUGAAGGGCGUGCUAAUCUGCGAUAAGCGCCGGUAAGGUGAUAUGAACCGUUAUAACCGGCGAUACCCGAAUGGGGAAACCCAGUGUGACUCGUCACACUAUCAUUAACUGAAUCCAUAGGUUAAUGAGGCGAACCGGGGGAACUGAAACAUCUAAGUACCCCGAGGAAAAGAAAUCAACCGAGAUUCCCCCAGUAGCGGCGAGCGAACGGGGAGGAGCCCAGAGCCUGAAUCAGCAUGUGUGUUAGUGGAAGCGUCUGGAAAGGCGCGCGAUACAGGGUGACAGCCCCGUACACAAAAGCGCAUGUGCUGUGAGCUCGAUGAGUAGGGCGGGACACGUGGUAUCCUGUCUGAAUAUGGGGGGACCAUCCUCCAAGGCUAAAUACUCCUGACUGACCGAUAGUGAACCAGUACCGUGAGGGAAAGGCGAAAAGAACCCCGGCGAGGGGAGUGAAAAAGAACCUGAAACCGUGUACGUACAAGCAGUGGGAGCACAGGUUUACCUGUGUGACUGCGUACCUUUUGUAUAAUGGGUCAGCGACUUAUAUUCUGUAGCAAGGUUAACCGUAUAGGGGAGCCGUAGGGAAACCGAGUCUUAACCGGGCGUUAAGUUGCAGGGUAUAGACCCGAAACCCGGUGAUCUAGCCAUGGGCAGGUUGAAGGUUGGGUAACACUAACUGGAGGACCGAACCGACUAAUGUUGAAAAAUUAGCGGAUGACCUGUGGCUGGGGGUGAAAGGCCAAUCAAACCGGGAGAUAGCUGGUUCUCCCCGAAAGCUAUUUAGGUAGCGCCUCGUGAAUUCAUCUCCGGGGGUAGAGCACUGUUUCGGCUAGGGGGCCAUCCCGGCUUACCAACCCGAUGCAAACUGCGAAUACCGGAGAAUGUUAUCACGGGAGACACACGGCGGGUGCUAACGUCCGUCGUGAAGAGGGAAACAACCCAGACCGCCAGCUAAGGUCCCAAAGUCAUGGUUAAGUGGGAAACGAUGUGGGAAGGCCCAGACAGCCAGGAUGUUGGCUUAGAAGCAGCCAUCAUUUAAAGAAAGCGUAAUAGCUCACUGGUCGAGUCGGCCUGCGCGGAAGAUGUAACGGGGCUAAACCAUGCACCGAAGCUGCGGCAGCGACGCUGAUGCGUUGUUGGGUAGGGGAGCGUUCUGUAAGCCUGUGAAGGUGGCCUGUGAGGGUUGCUGGAGGUAUCAGAAGUGCGAAUGCUGACAUAAGUAACGAUAAAGCGGGUGAAAAGCCCGCUCGCCGGAAGACCAAGGGUUCCUGUCCAACGUUAAUCGGGGCAGGGUGAGUCGACCCCUAAGGCGAGGCCGAAAGGCGUAGUCGAUGGGAAACGGGUUAAUAUUCCCGUACUUGGUGUUACUGCGAAGGGGGGACGGAGAAGGCUAUGUUGGCCGGGCGACGGUUGUCCCGGUUUAAGCGUGUAGGUGUGUGUUCCAGGUAAAUCCGGUUCACUUUAACACUGAGGCGUGAUGACGAGGCACUACGGUGCUGAAGCAACAAAUGCCCUGCUUCCAGGAAAAGCCUCUAAGCAUCAGGUAACAUCAAAUCGUACCCCAAACCGACACAGGUGGUCAGGUAGAGAAUACCAAGGCGCUUGAGAGAACUCGGGUGAAGGAACUAGGCAAAAUGGUGCCGUAACUUCGGGAGAAGGCACGCUGACACGUAGGUGAAGUGAUUUACUCAUGGAGCUGAAGUCAGUCGAAGAUACCAGCUGGCUGCAACUGUUUAUUAAAAACACAGCACUGUGCAAACACGAAAGUGGACGUAUACGGUGUGACGCCUGCCCGGUGCCGGAAGGUUAAUUGAUGGGGUCAGCGCAAGCGAAGCUCCUGAUCGAAGCCCCGGUAAACGGCGGCCGUAACUAUAACGGUCCUAAGGUAGCGAAAUUCCUUGUCGGGUAAGUUCCGACCUGCACGAAUGGCGUAAUGAUGGCCAGGCUGUCUCCACCCGAGACUCAGUGAAAUUGAACUCGCUGUGAAGAUGCAGUGUACCCGCGGCAAGACGGAAAGACCCCGUGAACCUUUACUAUAGCUUGACACUGAACAUUGAGCCUUGAUGUGUAGGAUAGGUGGGAGGCUUUGAAGCGUGGACGCCAGUCUGCAUGGAGCCGGCCUUGAAAUACCACCCUUUAAUGUUUGAUGUUCUAACGUGGACCCGUGAUCCGGGUUGCGGACAGUGUCUGGUGGGUAGUUUGACUGGGGCGGUCUCCUCCUAAAGAGUAACGGAGGAGCACGAAGGUUGGCUAAUCCUGGUCGGACAUCAGGAGGUUAGUGCAAUGGCAUAAGCCAGCUUGACUGCGAGCGUGACGGCGCGAGCAGGUGCGAAAGCAGGUCAUAGUGAUCCGGUGGUUCUGAAUGGAAGGGCCAUCGCUCAACGGAUAAAAGGUACUCCGGG
rnacentral:rRNA from 1 species